AGCGAACGCUGGCGGCAGGCCUAACACAUGCAAGUCGAACGAACCUUUCGGGGUUAGUGGCGGACGGGUGAGUAACACGUGGGAACGUGCCUUUAGGUUCGGAAUAACUCAGGGAAACUUGUGCUAAUACCGAAUGUGCCCUUCGGGGGAAAGAUUUAUCGCCUUUAGAGCGGCCCGCGUCUGAUUAGCUAGUUGGUUGAGGUAAUGGCUCACCAAGGCGACGAUCAGUAGCUGGUCUGAGAGGAUGAUCAGCCACAUUGGGACUGAGACACGGCCCAAACUCCUACGGGAGGCAGCAGUGGGGAAUCUUGCGCAAAGGGCGAAAGCCUGACGCAGCCAUGCCGCGUGAAUGAUGAAGGUCUUAGGAUUGUAAAAUUCUUUCACCGGGGACGAUAAUGACGGUACCCGGAGAAGAAGCCCCGGCUAACUUCGUG
rnacentral:rRNA from 1 species